rnacentral:rRNA from 1 species
CCUACGGGUGGCAGCAGUGAGGAAUAUUGGUCAAUGGACGAGAGUCUGAACCAGCCAAGUAGCGUGAAGGAUGACUGCCCUAUGGGUUGUAAACUUCUUUUAUAAAGGAAUAAAACGAGGCACGUGUGCCUUUUUGCAUGUACUUUAUGAAUAAGGAUCGGCUAACUCCGUGCCAGCAGCCGCGGUAAUACGGAGGAUCCGAGCGUUAUCCGGAUUUAUUGGGUUUAAAGGGAGCGUAGAUGGGUUGUUAAGUCAGUUGUGAAAGGUUGCGGCUCAACCGUAAAAUUGCAAUUGAUACUGGCAGUCUUGAGUACAGUUGAGGUAGGCGGAAUUCGUGGUGUAGCGGUGAAAUGCUUAGAGAUCACGAAGAACCCCGAUUGCGAAGGCAGCUUACUAAACUGUGACUGACAUUGAUGCUCGAAAGUGUGGGUAUCAAACAGGAUUAGAUACCCUGGUAGUC